CCUACGGGUGGUAGCAGUGAGGAAUAUUGGUCAAUGGGCGGAAGCCUGAACCAGCCAAGUAGCGUGCAGGAUGACGGCCUUACGUGUUGUAAACUGUAUUUAUACGGGAAUAACGCGCCUUACGUGUAGGGCUUUGCAUGUACCGUAUGAAUAAGGACCGGCUAAUUCCGUGCCAGCAGCCGCGGUAAUACGGAAGGUGCGGGCGUUAUCCGGAUUUAUUGGGUGUAAAGGGAGCGUAGGCCGCAUGUCAAGCGUGCUGUGAAAUGCUCGGGCUCAACCCGGGCCUUGCAGCGCGAACUGGCGUGCUUGAGUGCGGGGAAAGCAGGCGGAAUUCGUCGUGUAGCGGUGAAAUGCUUAGAUAUGACGAAGAACCCCGAUUGCGAAGGCAGCUUGCUGGAGCGGAACUGACGCUGAUGCUCGAAAGCGCGGGUAUCGAACAGGAUUAGAUACCCCUGUAGUC
rnacentral:rRNA from 1 species